UGGGGAAUCUUGCACAAUGGGCGAAAGCCUGAUGCAGCCAUGCCGCGUGAGUGAAGAAGGCCCUAGGGUUGUAAAGCUCUUUCAGUGGGGAAGAUAAUGACGGUACCCACAGAAGAAGCCCCGGCUAACUCCGUGCCAGCAGCCGCGGUAAUACGGAGGGGGCUAGCGUUGUUCGGAAUCACUGGGCGUAAAGCGCACGUAGGCGGACCAGUCAGUCAGAGGUGAAAUCCCAAGGCUCAACCUUGGAACUGCCUUUGAUACUGCUGGUCUUGAGGUCGAGAGAGGUAAGUGGAAUUCCUAGUGUAGAGGUGAAAUUCGUAGAUAUUAGGAAGAACACCAGUGGCGAAGGCGACUUACUGGCUCGAUUCUGACGCUGAGGUGCGAAAGCGUGGGGAGCAAACAGGAUUAGAUACCCCCGUAGUCC
rnacentral:rRNA from 1 species